rnacentral:rRNA from 1 species
UACGAAGGGGGCUAGCGUUGCUCGGAAUUACUGGGCGUAAAGCGUGCGCAGGCGGUUCGUUAAGUUCGAUGUGAAAGCCCCGGGCUCAACCUGGGAACUGCAUUCGAGACUGCAAGACUGGAGUAUUGGAGAGGGCAGCGGAAUUUCCGGUGUAGCGGUGAAAUGCGUAGAUAUCGGAAGGAACAUCAGUGGCGAAAGCGGCUGCCUGGCCAAAUACUGACGCUCAUGUGCGAAAGCGUGGGGAGCAAACAGG